UAUUUCCUGGAAAGGAGACGAGGAAAAGUCAUAAGAAGUUCUUGCUCGCCUCUAAAAAGUUGUUUACCUGACUUCAUCUACGGUGUAAAGCGAGAAAGGUUGAAACGAAAAACAGAUCCCCUUAUCUUCUCCCCCUUUUCUCCUCCCCCUUUGUUCUCUUCUCUCCCUUCCCGUCCCUCUCCUCUUCUCCAGAUGUCUCUGAUGGAGCACGGUGGUGGCGCCCACAACAGGCCGGUGACGGCAGUGGCCUGGGCCUCCAACAGCAGCACCUGUCCCAAAGACUUCAACCUGAUCAGUAUAACUGAGGAUGGAGCUGCUGCAAACUUCACACGGAGCUUCGCCAUGAAGGCUGGCUACUACCUCUGCUACAGCAAGGACAUGUCAGGUGGUAUGGUAGUAUCAGAUGUCCAGGUGAUCUCAGACAAGGAGACUGUUCCUCAUGGGUACUGUUACAUACCUGAACACCUGGAGCCUAGGGCCUCCGUGUCUAAGAAGAAGCGUGUGUGUGUCCGCAUGGUGCCAGUGGGCGGUGUGGAGACUGCUGUACUGGACAUCAAACUGACUGCUAAGACUAGGAGGAUGCUGCAACACUACACCUGCUUGGGGGACAUGCAUGGCUAUGUGAUGUGGUGUAAGAAGGGGCCCUUCUCCAGCCCUCUACCCCAGGCAAAGCCUCGCAGCCUCAGCCUUGACCUCCGUCAGCUCUCGCUGGACCAGAACCCCCCUCCGCUACCCCUCAGACCCAGCAACGCUCCACCCAUGCCCCCUGGCAGGAAGCUCAGCCAUCGCCGCAGCAACCUCCAAUUGAACGAUGCUGUGGACAAAGUGGUUGACAGCAGCAACAUCUACGGCAUCUCAGCCAUAGAUGGUGUUCCCUUCACUCUACACCCCAAGUUCAAGACCCAAACGAACGGCACGACUCCAACAAACACUCUGAACAACAUUCGCAUCAAGUCUGUCCAGGACAUUGAAAAUGAGUACAACUACACUUUCACCGUGGAGGAAAACGCAGCCAAGAGAACCACAUCGCUCACCACAGGAAGCACCUCUUAAGCACAAUGACCUUUCAUCUCCGACCUCAACAAUGGCGGCCUGCUCGACCCACAACACUACGGAGGUCAAUGUGAUAUGCCUGGGUCAUGAAAUGAUAAUCAAUGUCCAAGUGCCUCGAAGAUGACUGACUAGAACAGAAGUGUCAUUCUACAUUCCAGAGUACCAUUGGUUGUACCCACAUUCUACAUUCCAGAGUUCCAUUGGUUGUACCCACAUUCUACAUUCCAGAGUUCCAUUGGUUGUACCCACAUUCUACAUUCCAGAGUUCCAUUGGUUAUACCCACAUUCUUAUUCCGUGUUCUAAACUCUUGCACAUUUCAUUCUCACGCCCCGUAUAUGUGGCCAGUUAUAUAUGUGAGGGAUGACUCUUCCCCCGUAUAUGGGGCCAGUUAUAUAUGUUAGGGAUGACUCUUCCCCCGUAUAUGGGGCCAGUUAUAUAUGUUAGGGAUGACUCUUCCCCCGUAUAUGGGGCCAGUUAUAUAUGUUAGGGAUGACUCUUCCCCCGUAUAUGGGGCCAGUUAUAUAUGUUAGGGAUGACUCUUCCCUCGUAUAUGGGGCCAGUUAUAUAUGUUAGGGAUGACUCUUCCCCCGUAUAUGGGGCCAGUUAUAUAUGUUAGAGAUGACUCUUUGACGGGGAAGAGAGCGUUGUAUGGCAGGGCACGCUUGUUUCUCUCGUUAGAAUAAUGACAGGAACCUGUUGCGGUGUACCUGUUAACGUCAGGCUAUUGAUCUUCAUCUUUAUUGGGAUGUUUAGGGACCAAACUAAAUGUUGUUACACUUUCAAUGUAAAUAAUGUUACUAUUAUGUCUCUGUGGUGAAACAUGGGUCAUUUCAUGGUUAAAAUAUAUAAUAAGGAAGUAUGGUUACCGGUCACUGGUUAUAUCUGUAUAUUGUGCCUUGCAUGCAAGUAUAAACACAUAAAGUACCAAAUAGUUUGACGUGUACCGUUCUUAUAAGGAGAGUUUGAUAUCCGUCACAGGGAGAUAAAACAUGUUAACACAGCAACUGCUGACACUUUAUGCUCGGACUGAUAGACACGCCCACUUUUCUGCAUGUUCAAACAGGUGAUUGGAGAUUUGGUUUCCGUGUGUAACCCAUAAGACCAUGUGAACCUGCCAGUCUGCAGCUUUCACCUGUAUCCACACUAGGUGCACCAGUCGACAGAAAAGUCCGGUUUUGGGGAUUCAACUCGAUCCGGAGUCGGGUGGAUAGAAGAUCCUGCAACCACGUUGUCAAUUUGAAUGCAAAACAGAGUAUCUGGUCUGGGGAUCAUUCAGCUGGGGAAGACUGGAGCAGGGAUGAGUGCAACCGGAAACACCAAAGAGGUGUUAAUAGAAGAGUUCUCUUCUGAGUCUGUGACGAUACAAUGUGAAGAUGUCCAAAGGAUGAAGAGGACAGCUUCAGACACUACUGAAACAGCAGGAGGAGGAGCAGCAGGAGGAGGUGCAGCAGGAGGAGGAGGUGCAGCAUGCAUAACAGAAGGUGUACUAGCAGCAGUACUAGAAGGAGUAGCAGGAGGAGAAGGAGUAGCAGCAACAGGAGCAACAGGUGUACUAGCAGCAGUACUAGGAGGAGUAGCAACAGGGCCAACAGAAGGUGUACUAGCAGCAGUACUAGGAGUUGUAGCAGGAGAAGGAGAAGCAGGAGUAACAGAAGGUGUACUAGCAGCAGUACUAGGAGGAGAAGGAGCAGCAGGAGAAGGAGAAGCAGCAACAGAAGGUGUACUAGCAGUAGUAGCAGGAGAAGGAGAAGGAGAAGCAGGAGAAGCAGCAACAGGAGCAACAGAAGGUGUACUAGCAGCAGUACUAGUAGGAGUAGCAGGAGAAGGAGCAGCAGGAGGAGGAGCAGGGGAAGGUGUAGUAGCAGCAGUACUAGGAGGAGUAGCAGGAGGAGCAGCAACAGGAGUAUUGGUACUAGCUUUGGGAAUACCAGCAGGAAUAGCAGGAGCAGGAGUAGCAGCAGUUGCAGGAGUAGCAUUUGCAGAGAUUUUUCAAAAAUGUACGCCUAAAUCUACAAAAGGCAGAUGGAAAAGAGAAAGUCUCUGAAAAGGUGGUACAGAUCUGGUUAAACAACAACUAAACUACAUGAGAGGAUAUCAUAUGUUUGUUUCUCUAGUUAAGACUAAUGUAAUGUAAAAUGUACAUGUUCAAAAUAUAAAACAAACGUACAUCAAUAUCCCUUUA